AUCCGGCUGACUAGUCUCAAAUAGGACGAAACGCGUGUCCUGGAU
rnacentral:hammerhead_ribozyme from 1 species